rnacentral:rRNA from 1 species
UGACCAGACUCCUACGGGAGGCAGCAGUGGGGAAUAUUGCACAAUGGGGGGAACCCUGAUGCAGCGACGCCGCGCGGGUGAAGGAGCACCUCGGUGCGUAAAGCCCUAUCGGCAGGGAAGAAAAGCGAACAGGUUCGCCUGGACGGUACCUGACUAAGAAGCCCCGGCUAACUACGUGCCAGCAGCCGCGGUAAUACGUAGGGGGCAAGCGUUAUCCGGAUUCACUGGGUGUAAAGGGAGCGUAGACGGCGACGCAAGUCUGGAGUGAAAGCCCGGGGCCCAACCCCGGGACUGCAUUGGGAACUACCGGGCUGGAGUGCCGGAGAGGUAGGCGGAAUUCCUAGUGUAGCGGUGAAAUGCGUAGAUAUUAGGAGGAACACCAGUGGCGAAGGCGGCCUACUGGACGGUGACUGACGCUGAGGCUCGAAAGCGUGGGGAGCAAACAGGAUUAGAUACCCCAGUA